CAUGCCUUAUACAUGCAAGUCGAACGCGAAAGUCCAGCAAUGGGCGAGUAGAGUGGCAAACGGGUGAGUAACGCGUGGGAACAUACCUUUAGGUGCGGAAUAGCCUCGGGAAACUGGGAUUAAUACCGCAUGAUGUCUUCGGACCAAAGAUUUAUCGCCUAAAGAUUGGCCCGCGUCAGAUUAGCUAGUUGGUGGGGUAAUGGCCUACCAAGGCAACGAUCUGUAGCUGGUCUGAGAGGACGAUCAGCCACAUUGGGACUGAGACACGGCCCAAACUCCUACGGGAGGCAGCAGUAGGGAAUAUUGGACAAUGGACGCAAGUCUGAUCCAGCAAUGCCGCGUGAAUGAUGAAGGCCUUAGGGUUGUAAAGUUCUUUAAGUGGGGAAGAUAAUGACGGUACCCACAGAAUAAGCACCGGCUAACUUCGUGCCAGCCGCCGCUGUAA
rnacentral:rRNA from 1 species